AGAGUUUGAUCCUGGCUCAGGAUGAACGCUGGCGGCGUGCUUAACACAUGCAAGUCGAACGAACCUUCGGGUGAGUGGCGGACGGGUGAGUAACGCGUGGGAAUCUGCCCUCAGGAGGGGGAUAACGGCUGGAAACGGCCGCUAAUACCCCAUAUGCCGAGAGGUGAAAUGAAUUUCGCCUGAGGAUGAGCCCGCGUCUGAUUAGCUAGUUGGUGAGGUAAGAGCUCACCAAGGCAUCGAUCAGUAGCUGGUCUGAGAGGAUGAUCAGCCACACUGGGACUGAGACACGGCCCAGACUCCUACGGGAGGCAGCAGUGGGGAAUUUUCCGCAAUGGGCGAAAGCCUGACGGAGCAACGCCGCGUGAGGGAUGAAGGCCUCUGGGCUGUAAACCUCUUUUCUCAAGGAAGAAGAUCUGACGGUACUUGAGGAAUAAGCCACGGCUAAUUCCGUGCCAGCAGCCGCGGUAAUACGGGAGUGGCAAGCGUUAUCCGGAAUUAUUGGGCGUAAAGCGUCCGCAGGCGGCCCUUCAAGUCUGCUGUUAAAACGUGGAGCUUAACUCCAUCAUGGCAGUGGAAACUGUUGGGCUCGAGUGUGGUAGGGGCAGAGGGAAUUCCCGGUGUAGCGGUGAAAUGCGUAGAUAUCGGGAAGAACACCAGUGGCGAAGGCGCUCUGCUGGGCCAUAACUGACGCUCAUGGACGAAAGCCAGGGGAGCGAAAGGGAUUAGAUACCCCUGUAGUCCUGGCCGUAAACGAUGAACACUAGGUGUCGGGGGAAUCGACCCCCUCGGUGUCGUAGCCAACGCGUUAAGUGUUCCGCCUGGGGAGUACGCACGCAAGUGUGAAACUCAAAGGAAUUGACGGGGGCCCGCACAAGCGGUGGAGUAUGUGGUUUAAUUCGAUGCAACGCGAAGAACCUUACCAGGGUUUGACAUCCUGCGAACCUCUUGGAAACGAGAGGGUGCCUUCGGGAGCGCAGUGACAGGUGGUGCAUGGCUGUCGUCAGCUCGUGUCGUGAGAUGUUGGGUUAAGUCCCGCAACGAGCGCAACCCACGUCUUUAGUUGCCAGCAUUUAGUUGGGCACUCUAGAGAGACCGCCGGUGAUAAACCGGAGGAAGGUGUGGAUGACGUCAAGUCAUCAUGCCCCUUACAUCCUGGGCUACACACGUACUACAAUGCUACGGACAAAGAGCAGCAAGUUCGCGAGGACAAGCAAAUCUCAUAAACCGUGGCUCAGUUCAGAUCGUAGGCUGCAACUCGCCUACGUGAAGGAGGAAUCGCUAGUAAUCGCAGGUCAGCAUACUGCGGUGAAUACGUUCCCGGGCCUUGUACACACCGCCCGUCACACCAUGGAAGUUGGCCACGCCCGAAGCCGUUACUCCAACCCUUGUGGAGGAGGACGUCGAAGGUGGGGCUGAUGACUGGGGUGAAGUCGUAACAAGGUAGCCGUACCGGAAGGUGCGGCUGGAUCACCUCCU
rnacentral:rRNA from 1 species